UACGUAGGCAGCGAGCGUUGUUCGGAGUUACUGGGCGUAAAGGGUGUGUAGGCGGUUUUUUAAGUUUGGUGUGAAAUCUCCCGGCUCAACCGGGAGGGUGUGCCGAAUACUGAGAGACUCGAGUUCUGGAGAGGGUCGUGGAAUUCCCGGUGUAGCGGUGAAAUGCGUAGAGAUCGGGAGGAACACCAGAGGCGAAGGCGGCGACCUGGACAGAUACUGACACUCAACUACGAAAGCGUGGGGAGCAAACAGG
rnacentral:rRNA from 1 species